AMWUGGSRAGUCGGAGCGGGGCGUAGCAAUACGUCAGCGGCAGACGGGUGAGUAACGCGUGGGAACGUACCUUUUGGUUCGGAACAACACAGGGAAACUUGUGCUAAUACCGGAUAAGCCCUUACGGGGAAAGAUUUAUCGCCGAAAGAUCGGCCCGCGUCUGAUUAGCUAGUUGGUGAGGUAACGGCUCACCAAGGCGACGAUCAGUAGCUGGUCUGAGAGGAUGAUCAGCCACAUUGGGACUGAGACACGGCCCAAACUCCUACGGGAGGCAGCAGUGGGGAAUAUUGGACAAUGGGGGCAACCCUGAUCCAGCCAUGCCGCGUGAGUGAUGAAGGCCCUAGGGUUGUAAAGCUCUUUUGUGCGGGAAGAUAAUGACGGUACCGCAAGAAUAAGCCCCGGCUAACUUCGUGCCAGCAGCCGCGGUAAUACGAAGGGGGCUAGCGUUGCUCGGAAUCACUGGGCGUAAAGGGUGCGUAGGCGGGUCUUUAAGUCAGAGGUGAAAUCCUGGAGCUCAACUCCAGAACUGCCUUUGAUACUGAGGAUCUUGAGUUCGGGAGAGGUGAGUGGAACUGCGAGUGUAGAGGUGAAAUUCGUAGAUAUUAGGAAGCACACCAGUGGCGAAGGCGGCUCACUGGUCCGGUACUGACGCUGAGGUGCGAAAGCGUGGGGAGCAAACAGGAUUAGAUACUCUGGUAGUCCACGCCGUAAACUAUGAGAGCUAGCCGUUGGAGGAUUUAUCCUUCAGUGGCGCAGCUAACGCAUUAAGCUCUCCGCCUGGGGAGUACGGGUCGCAAGAUAAAMACUYAAASGGAAUUUGACGGGGGCUCGSCACAAGCGGGUGGA
rnacentral:rRNA from 1 species